UUGCAGUUAAAAAGCUCGUAGUUGGACUUGUGUGCGCUGUCCGCGGGUGGCCUGCGCCCAAAAGGGCGUUUCGGUUCGGCCCCGGUGGCGCCUUGAAAUCUGCAGCUGGGGGGACGUUGGCCUUAACUGGUCGGCGACCGCACGCCGGCUGCUCGGUUACUGUGAGAAAAUUAGAGUGUUCAAGGCAGGCAUUGGGUGCAAUUGAAUACAUUAGCAUGGAAUAAUAAAAUAUGGCUCCUGCCGUAUUUUGUUGGUUUUGACUGGUGGGAGUAAUGAUUGAUAGGGACGGUUGGGGGUGCUAGUAUUGAGCGGCCAGAGGUGAAAAUCAUGGAUUCGCUCAGGACAAACUUAUGCGAAAGCAUUCACCAAGGACGUCCUCUUUAAUCAAGAACGAAAGUUGGGGGAUCGAAGACGAUCAGAUACCGUCGUAGUCUCAACCAUAAACUAUGUCGACUUGGGAUCGGCGGUAGUUUUUUCAUUAAGACACUGUCGGGACCACGGGAGAAAUCAAAGUGUCUGGACUCUGGGGGAAGUAUGGUCGCAAGGCUGAAACUUGAAGGAAUUGACGGAGGGGCACCACCAGGAGUGGAGCCUGCGGCUUAAUUUGACUCAACACGGGGAAACUUACCAGGUCCAGAGAUGUAGAGGAUUGACAGAUUGAAGCUCUUUCUUGAUCACUUCGGUGGUGGUGCAUGGCCGUUCUUAGUUGGUGGAGUGAUUUGUCUGGUUAAUUCCGUUAACGAACGAGACCUCAGCCUGCUAGUGUAGUCGGCUGGAUUGCCUUUGGCGAUCCGUGAUUUCGACUUCUUAGAGGGACAAUCGACGCGCAGUCGAUGGAAGUUUGAGGCAAUAACAGGUCUGUGAUGCCCUUAGAUGUUCUGGGCCGCACGCGCGCUACACUGCUGGGCUCAGCGAGUUCUACUUGGCCGAGAGGCCCGGUUAAUCUUGUGAAAUCCCAGCGUGCUUGGGCUCGCCUCCUGCAACUGGAGGCGCCAACGAGGAAUUCCUAGUAGACGCAGGUCAUCAACCUGCAUCGAUUACGUCCCUGCCCUUUGUACACACCGCCCGUCGUUCCAUAAGAGUGAGGCAUCCGGUGAAUUCUCGGGAGAGCCUGGGCGUGGCCAGCAAUGGUCUGCUCGGGUUUGAACUUGCAUAAACUUGGUGCCUAUGAUCAGGG
rnacentral:rRNA from 1 species